AUGGGGCUAAUCGAGGAGACAGUGACGAGCCUUACCAGGGCCGUGCUGAACAGGGCGAUCCACUACGCCGAGUCUGCCAUCGCAAAGGAGGCUGCCCUCCACCUCGGCAUCCAGCGCGACCAGACCUUCAUCGCCGACGAGCUCGAGAUGAUGCAGGGCUUCCUGAUGGCCGCGCACGACGACCGUGACAGCCACAACAGGGUCAUGAAGAUCUGGGUGAAGCAAGUCCGCGACGUUGCCUACAACGUCGAGGACUGCCUCCAGGACUUCGCUGUUCGUGUCACGGUGAGGAGGUCCUGGUGGCGUUUUCCUCGCAAGCUGCUGCACCGGCGGCGCGUGGCCAAGAAGAUGAAGGAGCUCAGAGCAAAGGUUGAGGAUGUCAGCCAGAGGAACCUGCGCUACCACCUCAUCAAGGCAUCCAAGCCAAUCUCCGCUGAUGAGCAGUCGUUGGCCGUCGCCAGUGCAACCAUGUCUGACAUUGACGAAGUAAGGCGGCAGCAUGAAAAGGCAAAAGUGGCUCUCGUUCGGCUCAUCAGCAAGAAGGACAAUGACCUUAGAGUCAUUGCGGUGUCAAGGACAAAUGCUAUCUGUCUUGGAGAGACCUCCAUCGUCAAAAGAGCCUACGAAGAUCUCAAGAUACACAAGAAAUUCGAGUGUUUUGCCUGGAUCAGGUUGGUGCGACCCUUCAAUUCGACAAAGUUCUUGCAAAGCAUUGCCCGGCAGCUCUAUGUACAUUAUCUUCAGCAGGCCAAGCAAACAGAGAAAAAUCCUGCAGAUGCCCAAGUUCUGAGAAAGAUGGGGAUGAUGAGUGAGGAGGAUUUGGCUAAUGAAUUCAAGACAUAUAUCAGUGAGAAGAGUUACCUGAUUGUGAUUGAUGACAUACACACCGUUGAAGAGUGGGAUCGCAUUAUAACAUGCUUCCCACAAAGCAAGAAAGGAAGCCGAAUCGUAGUGUCGGCACAGCAAGUUGAAGUUGCAAGCUUAUGCGUAGGGCCGGAGAAUGUAGCACCAGAGCACAGGCAGUUGUUUGCUGAUCUUCAUGCUUUCUACGAGAAGAGUUUUCAAGAUGCAGCAGAUCUGGUGGAAACAGGAUCUAGCUCAAAUAUAUCCUGUAUGUAUAAUAAUAACUCUCUGUACAGGAAGAGCUUAGUUGUUUUGAAGGAAUCUGAGCCCAUCGGACGUGACCAAGAAAAAUCUGAUACUAUUGAAAUAAUUACAAAUGGUGAUAGCCAACACCUUGAGGUGGUCUCUGUGUGCGGAAUGGGUGGUCUUGGGAAAACAACACUAAUCAGAGAUGUCUAUGAAAGCCAAGAGCUCAGUGGCAUGUUUGAGAAGUCUGCUUUUGUCACAAUAAUGCAUCCUUUCAAUCGGGGAAAGCUCAUUGAGAGCUUAUCUAGACAGUUUGGAGAAAAGGAUGUGGAAAACAUGUACCAGUAUUUGGAAGGAAGGAAAUACUUGGUUGUUCUUGAUGAUCUCUCGUCCACCACGGAAUGGGACGCUAUAAAACAACAUUUUCCUCCAACAGGCACAGCAAACCGGAUCAUAAUCACCACAAGAAAAGAGGAUAUUGCGAAGCAUUGUUCGAAGAGGCAUAAGAAUAUAUACAACCUCCAGGGGCUGGUAUACAAAAAUGCCCUUGACCUCUUCACACAGAAGAUAUUUGGCAAGAUUACAAAUUUGGAUGAUCAAUAUCCAGAGUUGGUUGAACAAGCAAAGCUGAUCCUAAAGAAGUGCAGUGGACUUCCCCUUGCAAUAGUCACCAUAGGUGGUUUCUUGGCAAACCAACAAAACACACCUUUGGAAUGGAGGAAGUUGAAUGAGCAUAUUAGUGCUGAGUUGGAACUGAAUCCAGACCUUGGGCCCAUAAUGACAGUCCUUAAUAAAAGCUUUGAUGGCCUACCAUACUAUCUUAAGCCUUGUUUCUUGUAUAUGUCGAUCUUUCCAAAAGAUCGCGAGGUCAGUCGGCGUCGUUUGGUGCGUCGGUGGAUUGCAGAGGGUUAUUCAAGGGAGGUGCGUGGCAGGUCUGCAGAGGAAAUAGCAGAGGGCGACUUCAUGGAACUCGUAAGCAGGAGCAUGCUCCUACCAUCUCAACAAUCAAUUCAUGGUAGAAAAGGAAUUGAUGCAUGCCAGGUCCAUGAUCUAAUACGUGAAAUCAGCAUCAAGAAGUCAACUGAAGAAAAUUUUGUUUUCACACUGGAGGAAGGUUAUGGCUUAAGCAGACGGGCCACAGUUCGGCACCUUGCUAUAAGCGAAAAUUGGAAGGGAGAUCAAAGUCAGUUUGAGAGCAUAGUGGACUUGUCCCGUGUGAGAUCAAUAACAGUUUUUGGGAAGUGGAAGCCAUUUUUUAUUUCUGACAAGAUGAGGUUGCUACGAGUGCUGGACCUAGAAGGCACACCAGGCCUAGCUGAUCACCACCUUCAGCACAUUGGGAAGCUUCUUCACCUAAAAUAUUUUUCCAUAAGAGGAUGUGAUGAUAUUCAUCACCUGCCACACUCCUUGGGUAACCUGAGGCAACUCCAGACACUAGAUGUCAGGGAUACGAGAAUACUAAAGCUGCCAAAGACCAUCAUCAAACUUCGGAUGUUAACCUAUCUCCGCCUUGGUAGGAAAUCGACUGACAAAAAGGUGUCAUAUGAGAAACUUGAAGAGAAGCUCUCAAAUUCAAUGGGCAACAACAGGCUAUGUCUAUUGACUUCAGGGUCAGUGAUGCUUUGUGCAGCUUGUUGUGCACCCCGUCGUUUUGGUUAUUCUGAAGACAUGAACCGCCAUGACAUAUGUACUGCUGCUUGCUGUGCUAGACUCCCUGCUGUUGCCAAGCGUCUGGACAGGUAUGGAGUUCUAGCUCCUAGAGGGAUGAGGAAACUGAUCGGCUUGCACACACUGGGGGUUGUAAAUGUUGCACGGGGGGCAGUCAUUCAGGACAUAAAAAAACUGACCUGGUUGCGCAAGUUAGCAGUAACUGGCGUCAACGGGAGAAAUGGUGAAAAAUUCUGUUCAGCAAUCAAUAAUCUCAACCGUCUUGAGUCAUUGUCAAUACGGUCAGAGGGAGAGCCUGGAUUAUGUGAAUGUUUGCACUGGAUGACCUCGCCCCUGGAAAACCUCCAGAGCCUCAAGCUGUACGGUAAUCUGAUCAAACUGCCAAGAUGGGUCCAGAGGCUCCAGAAUCUUGUGAAGCUGAAUUUACGGAGCACCAGGCUAUCGGGGCAUGAUGGUGAUGUGGAAGUUCUUGGGAGGAUGCCAAAUCUGGCCAUCCUGCAUUUGUUGGAGAAGUCGUUUCAGGGUGAAGAGCUUCGUUUCCAGAUUGGGAUUUUCAGAAGCCUCACAGUUCUUGUGUUUGGAAACUUUGGGGACAUCAAAUUGGUGAAGUUUGACCAAGGAGCAAUGCCUAAGCUUGAGCAACUGCAGGUCAGGAAUGACUGGAGGGUAAGUGCUGAAAAUGGUUGUUCUGCGAAUGAAGUUGCAUUUUCAGGGCUAGACUUUCUCCCAAGCAUCAAGGAAGCCCGGUUAUGGUUAAACAUUAUCCCGGAUGAACAACUCAAGGAAAUACCAGAUGAAGUAUUCCUCAAGGCCAGCAACUUUGAGGAACACUUUCGGACCCAGCUUGCCAACAAUCCAAGGAACCCCAUUCUGAAGGUGGGUGAGCUCGAGAACCAGGACUAA
rnacentral:rRNA from 1 species